CCAAAAGGACUAUGACUCCUUCUCUAAUUAUGUGAGAUCUAAUCUAAAUAGUUUAGACUCCUAAUUAGAUUAUGAUAUCAAUCUAUUUGGAUUUAAUCAAUUUUUAAUUUAAUUAAAAUUGGUUAGAGUUUAAAUUGAUUUAAAUUAGUCACCUAAAGAGGAGUCCCAUGAUGUUAAAACUCUCCCUUUCCAUGUGCAUAAACCAGCCACAUGCCCAACC
rnacentral:lncRNA from 1 species